AUUGAACGCUGGCGGCAGGCCUAACACAUGCAAGUCGGACGGUAGCACAGAGGAGCUUGCUCUUCGGGUGACGAGUGGCGGACGGGUGAGUAAUGUCUGGGAAACUGCCCGAUGGAGGGGGAUAGCUACUGGAAACGGUAGCUAAUACCGCAUAACGUCGCAAGACCAAAGUGGGGGACCUUCGGGCCUCACACCAUCGGAUGUGCCCAGAUGGGAUUAGCUGGUAGGCGGGGUAACGGCCCACCUAGGCGACGAUCCCUAGCUGGUCUGAGAGGAUGACCAGCCACACUGGAACUGAGACACGGUCCAGACUCCUACGGGAGGCAGCAGUGGGGAAUAUUGCACAAUGGGCGCAAGCCUGAUGCGGCCAUGCCGCGUGUAUGAAGAAGGCCUUCGGGUUGUAAAGUACUUUCAGCGGGGAGGAAGGUGCUGAGGUUAAUAAGCUCAGCAAUUGACGUUACCCGCAGAAGAAGCACCGGCUAACUCCGUGCCAGCCGCCGCCGUAA
rnacentral:rRNA from 1 species